ACACCUCAACUCCUCAUGGUUUGCCGUGAUGAGUUGAGGUGUUCACGAUACUCAAAUGGAUCAGCUUUCCAGUAUUUGGUGGCAUCGCAGGUGUGAUAAAUAUCUACGCUUGUGGUUUCCACCAUGUGUGACCUUCAGUGAUGAAGGUGUGCUGGAGCUCACAAUAGUCCCUCCUCAGUGGGACAGCUUUCUGAAC
rnacentral:misc_RNA from 1 species